rnacentral:tRNA from 15 species
GCAGUGGUAGUUCAGUUGGUUAGAAUACCGGCCUGUCACGCCGGGGGUCGCGGGUUCGAGUCCCGUCCGCUGCGCCA